GGAGAGGUACCCAAGAGGCCCAAGGGGGCUGACUCGAAAUCAGUUAGGCGUGUCAAAGCGNNGUUCGAAUCCCACCCUCUCCGCCA
rnacentral:tRNA from 1 species